rnacentral:rRNA from 1 species
GAAAGAAAGAUUAAUACCCGAUGGCAUAGUUCUUCCGCAUGGUAGAACUAUUAAAGAAUUUCGGUCAUCGAUGGGGAUGCGUUCCAUUAGGUUGUUGGCGGGGUAACGGCCCACCAAGCCUUCGAUGGAUAGGGGUUCUGAGAGGAAGGUCCCCCACAUUGGAACUGAGACACGGUCCAAACUCCUACGGGAGGCAGCAGUGAGGAAUAUUGGUCAAUGGACGAGAGUCUGAACCAGCCAAGUAGCGUGAAGGAUGACUGCCCUAUGGGUUGUAAACUUCUUUUAUACGGGAAUAAAGUGAGGCACGUGUGCCUUUUUGUAUGUACCGUAUGAAUAAGGAUCGGCUAACUCCGUGCCAGCAGCCGCGGUAAUACGGAGGAUCCGAGCGUUAUCCGGAUUUAUUGGGUUUAAAGGGAGCGUAGGCGGACGCUUAAGUCAGUUGUGAAAGUUUGCGGCUCAACCGUAAAAUUGCAGUUGAUACUGGGUGUCUUGAGUACAGUAGAGGCAGGCGGAAUUCGUGGUGUAGCGGUGAAAUGCUUAGAUAUCACGAAGAACUCCGAUUGCGAAGGCAGCCUGCUGGACUGUAACUGACGCUGAUGCUCGAAAGUGUGGGUAUCAAACAGGAUUAGAUACCCUGGUAGUCCACACAGUAAACGAUGAAUACUCGCUGUUUGCGAUAUACAGUAAGCG